rnacentral:rRNA from 1 species
CCGUCCCCCAAAUACAGUGGCGGUCCCGCCGCAGCUUCCAUCGCGUAGUAGCUAACACCUCGCGACUGGAGAGCGGCGCGGCCACGCCGUAAAACACCCCAACUCUUCUGAAGUGACCUCGAAUCAGUAGGAAUACCCGCUGAACUUAAGCAUAUCAAUAAGCGGAGGAAAAGAAACCAACAGGGAUUGCCCCAGUAACGGCGAGUGAAGCGGCAACAGCUCAAAUUUGAAAUCUGGCUCUCGGGCCCGAGUUGUAAUUUGUAGAGGAUGCUUUUGGUGAGGUGCCUUCCGAGUUCCCUGGAACGGGACGCCAUAGAGGGUGAGAGCCCCGUCUGGUUGGACGCCGAACCUCUGUAAAGCUCCUUCGACGAGUCGAGUAGUUUGGGAAUGCUGCUCUAAAUGGGAGGUAUAUGUCUUCUAAAGCUAAAUACCGGCCAGAGACCGAUAGCGCACAAGUAGAGUGAUCGAAAGAUGAAAAGAACUUUGAAAAGAGAGUUAAACAGUACGUGAAAUUGUUGAAAGGGAAGCGCUUGUGACCAGACUUGGGCUUGGUUGAUCAUCCGGGGUUCUCCCCGGUGCACUCUUCCGGCCCAGGCCAGCAUCAGUUCGCCCUGGGGGACAAAGGCAUCGGGAACGUGGCUCUCUCCGGGGAGUGUUAUAGCCCGUUGCGUAAUACCCUGUGGCGGACUGAGGUUCGCGCAUUCGCAAGGAUGCUGGCGUAAUGGUCAUCAGUGACCCGUCUUGAAACACGGACCAAGGAGUCGUCUUCGUAUGCGAGUGUUCGGGUGUCAAACCCCUACGCGAAAUGAAAGUGAACGCAGGUGAGAGCUUCGGCGCAUCAUCGACCGAUCCUGAUGUUUUCGGAUGGAUUUGAGUAAGAGCAUACGGGGCCGGACCCGAAAGAAGGUGAACUAUGCCUGUGUAGGGUGAAGCCAGAGGAAACUCUGGUGGAGGCUCGCAGCGGUUCUGACGUGCAAAUCGAUCGUCAAACAUGGGCAUGGGGGCGAAAGACUAAUCGAAC